AGCGAACGCUGGCGGCAGGCCUAACACAUGCAAGUCGAGCGCCCAGCAAUGGGAGCGGCAGACGGGAGAGUAACACGUGGGAACGUACCUUUCAGUUCGGAACAAUCAAGGGAAACUUUGGCUAAUACCGGAUACGCCCGUAAGGGGAAAGAUUUAUCGCUGAAAGAUCGGCCCGCGUCUGAUUAGCUUGUUGGUGAGGUAACGGCUCACCAAGGCGACGAUCAGUAGCUGGUCCGAGAGGAUGACCAGCCUCACUGGGACUGAGACACGGCCCAGACUCCUACGGGAGGCAGCAGUGGGGAAUAUUGGACAAUGGGCGCAAGCCUGAUCUAGCCAUGCCGCGUGGAUGAUGAAGGCCUUAGGGUUGUAAAGUCCUUUUAACGGGGAAGAUAAUGAUGGUACCCGUAGAAUAAGCCCCGGCUAACUUCGUGCCAGCCGCCGCCGUAAUAC
rnacentral:rRNA from 1 species